rnacentral:sRNA from 1 species
UGAUUUUGAUCUCCACUUAUUAAAAGUUUCAGAAGGCACAACAAUACUGUUGAACUGCACUGGCCAGGUUAAAGGAAGAAAACCAUCUGCCCUAGGUGAAGCCCAACCAACAAAGAGUUUGUCCUCAGGACUACAGAAGCAGUUCACAUUUUACAGAUCAAAUGGACUACACACACAUUCUUUCCACUGCAAAUCGUCCUUUCUCCACUAGAAGCAAGGCCCUCGACAGAUGCUAGCACUAUGCUCCUGGACUUCCCAACCUCCAGAACUAGUCUCACAAAACAAGGAAUAACUUUAAACUUUAAUAGAAGAGUUCUGAAGACCAAACUCUGAAGGAAAGAAAGCAUUCUGGAAGAAUGGCAUAGCUGAAAUCAAGACCCUUGAACAAAGAAUAUUACCCAUUAACUCUUCAAAAACUAUUCCACGUAAGUUCUUCCCAUGAGAAUUGACCAGAAUGAUUGAACAACUACAGAUCUGUAAAACCAUAAAGGUACAAAAUCAGUCUACUCACUAAUGCUACUGGAAAGAAUGUUCUUCCACAAAUCUUGCAAGGUAACAAUUCUCCAACUUGGACAACACCUCCAUUCUCUAAAACAGGAAGGAAUUUAAUAAGUAAUUUCUAUAACUUAAAA